UAGGGAAUAUCGCAAAAUGGGCGAAAGCCCGAUGCAGCAACGCCGCGUGGGCGAUGAAGGCCUUCGGGUCGUAAAGCCCUUUUUGAGGGGAUGAGGAAGGACAGUACCCUCAGAAUAAGCCUCGGCUAACUACGUGCCAGCAGCCGCGGUAAAACGUAGGAGGCGAGCGUUAUCCGGAUUUACUGGGCGUAAAGCGCGUGCAGGCGGAUUGGAGAGUUGGAUGUGAAAGCUCCCGGCUUAACUGGGAGAGGUCGUUCAAUACUUCCAGUCUUGAGUGCAGUAGAGGGAAGUGGAAUUCCGGGUGUAGUGGUGAAAUGCGUAGAUAUCCGGAGGAACACCAGUGGCGAAAGCGGCUUCCUGGACUGUAACUGACGCUCAGACGCGAAAGCUAGGGUAGCAAACG
rnacentral:rRNA from 1 species